UGUGGGAGGGGGCUUGCCCCCGAUAGCGGUGUGUCAGUUAAAGAUGUAAUGACUGAAACACCGCCAUCGGGGGCAAGCCCCCUCCCACA
rnacentral:misc_RNA from 1 species